UACGUAGGGUGCAAGCGUUGUCCGGAAUUAUUGGGCGUAAAGAGCGUGUAGGCGGCCCGAUUAGUCCGCUGUGAAAGUCCAGGGCUCAACCCUGGAAUGCCGGUGGAUACUGUCGGGCUAGAGUCCGGAAGGGGCGAGUGGAAUUCCUGGUGUAGCGGUGAAAUUCGUAGAUAUCGGGAGGAACACCUGUGGCGAAAGCGGCUCACUGGACCACAACUGACGCUGAUGCACGAAAGCUAGGGGAGCAAACAGG
rnacentral:rRNA from 1 species